UGUGAGCUCGAUGAGUAGGGCGGGACACGUGGUAUCCUGUCUGAAUAUGGGGGGACCAUCCUCCAAGGCUAAAUACUCCUGACUGACCGAUAGUGAACCAGUACCGUGAGGGAAAGGCGAAAAGAACCCCGGCGAGGGGAGUGAAAAAGAACCUGAAACCGUGUACGUACAAGCAGUGGGAGCACGCUUAGGCGUGUGACUGCGUACCUUUUGUAUAAUGGGUCAGCGACUUAUAUUCUGUAGCAAGGUUAACCGAAUAGGGGAGCCGAAGGGAAACCGAGUCUUAACUGGGCGUUAAGUUGCAGGGUAUAGACCCGAAACCCGGUGAUCUAGCCAUGGGCAGGUUGAAGGUUGGGUAACACUAACUGGAGGACCGAACCGACUAAUGUUGAAAAAUUAGCGGAUGACUUGUGGCUGGGGGUGAAAGGCCAAUCAAACCGGGAGAUAGCUGGUUCUCCCCGAAAGCUAUUUAGGUAGCGCCUCGUGAAUUCAUCUCCGGGGGUAGAGCACUGUUUCGGCAAGGGGGUCAUCCCGACUUACCAACCCGAUGCAAACUGCGAAUACCGGAGAAUGUUAUCACGGGAGACACACGGCGGGUGCUAACGUCCGUCGUGAAGAGGGAAACAACCCAGACCGCCAGCUAAGGUCCCAAAGUCAUGGUUAAGUGGGAAACGAUGUGGGAAGGCCCAGACAGCCAGGAUGUUGGCUUAGAAGCAGCCAUCAUUUAAAGAAAGCGUAAUAGCUCACUGGUCGAGUCGGCCUGCGCGGAAGAUGUAACGGGGCUAAACCAUGCACCGAAGCUGCGGCAGCGACGCUUAUGCGUUGUUGGGUAGGGGAGCGUUCUGUAAGCCUGUGAAGGUGUGCUGUGAGGCAUGCUGGAGGUAUCAGAAGUGCGAAUGCUGACAUAAGUAACGAUAAAGCGGGUGAAAAGCCCGCUCGCCGGAAGACCAAGGGUUCCUGUCCAACGUUAAUCGGGGCAGGGUGAGUCGACCCCUAAGGCGAGGCCGAAAGGCGUAGUCGAUGGGAAACAGGUUAAUAUUCCUGUACUUGGUGUUACUGCGAAGGGGGGACGGAGAAGGCUAUGUUGGCCGGGCGACGGUUGUCCCGGUUUAAGCGUGUAGGCUGGUUUUCCAGGCAAAUCCGGAAAAUCAAGGCUGAGGCGUGAUGACGAGGCACUACGGUGCUGAAGCAACAAAUGCCCUGCUUCCAGGAAAAGCCUCUAAGCAUCAGGUAACAUCAAAUCGUACCCCAAACCGACACAGGUGGUCAGGUAGAGAAUACCAAGGCGCUUGAGAGAACUCGGGUGAAGGAACUAGGCAAAAUGGUGCCGUAACUUCGGGAGAAGGCACGCUGAUAUGUAGGUGAAGCGACUUGCUCGUGGAGCUGAAAUCAGUCGAAGAUACCAGCUGGCUGCAACUGUUUAUUAAAAACACAGCACUGUGCAAACACGAAAGUGGACGUAUACGGUGUGACGCCUGCCCGGUGCCGGAAGGUUAAUUGAUGGGGUCAGCGCAAGCGAAGCUCUUGAUCGAAGCCCCGGUAAACGGCGGCCGUAACUAUAACGGUCCUAAGGUAGCGAAAUUCCUUGUCGGGUAAGUUCCGACCUGCACGAAUGGCGUAAUGAUGGCCAGGCUGUCUCCACCCGAGACUCAGUGAAAUUGAACUCGCUGUGAAGAUGCAGUGUACCCGCGGCAAGACGGAAAGACCCCGUGAACCUUUACUAUAGCUUGACACUGAACAUUGAGCCUUGAUGUGUAGGAUAGGUGGGAGGCUUUGAAGUGUGGACGCCAGUCUGCAUGGAGCCGACCUUGAAAUACCACCCUUUAAUGUUUGAUGUUCUAACGUUGACCCGUAAUCCGGGUUGCGGACAGUGUCUGGUGGGUAGUUUGACUGGGGCGGUCUCCUCCUAAAGAGUAACGGAGGAGCACGAAGGUUGGCUAAUCCUGGUCGGACAUCAGGAGGUUAGUGCAAUGGCAUAAGCCAGCUUGACUGCGAGCGUGACGGCGCGAGCAGGUGCGAAAGCAGGUCAUAGUGAUCCGGUGGUUCUGAAUGGAAGGGCCAUCGCUCAACGGAUAAAAGGUACUCCGGGGAUAACAGGCUGAUACCGCCCAAGAGUUCAUAUCGACGGCGGUGUUUGGCACCUCGAUGUCGGCUCAUCACAUCCUGGGGCUGAAGUAGGUCCCAAGGGUAUGGCUGUUCGCCAUUUAAAGUGGUACGCGAGCUGGGUUUAGAACGUCGUGAGACAGUUCGGUCCCUAUCUGCCGUGGGCGCUGGAGAACUGAGGGGGGCUGCUCCUAGUACGAGAGGACCGGAGUGGACGCAUCACUGGUGUUCGGGUUGUCAUGCCAAUGGCACUGCCCGGUAGCUAAAUGCGGAAGAGAUAAGUGCUGAAAGCAUCUAAGCACGAAACUUGCCCCGAGAUGAGUUCUCCCUGACUCCUUGA
rnacentral:rRNA from 1 species